UACCAGCACCCCGAGUGGGCGGGACGUUUAUUGGGCCUAAAGCAUCCGUAGCCGGUUCUACAAGUCUUCCGUUAAAUCCACCUGCUCAACAGUUGGGCUGCGGAGGAUACUAUAGAGCUAGGAGGCGGGAGAGGCAAGCGGUACUUAGUGGGUAGGGGUAAAAUCCGUUGAUCCAUUGAAGACCACCAGUGGCGAAGGCGGCUUGCCAGAACGCACUCGACGGUGAGGGAUGAAAGCUGGGGGAGCAAACCGG
rnacentral:rRNA from 1 species